AAUCUAAACUCCAAUACUAAUCAACCCUAGCCACCCGCCCAUUCAUCUUCUCUCUCCUCCCUAUCCUCCAGGAACUUGAAAAGCAUCAAUAAAUUCUCGUCUCAAAUCCAUCAAUGGGAAAAUCCAAAUUCGUUUCUCUCUCCUAAUACUAUGCUGCUUCAUCUUCCCCACUUGUUAAUUCGCCGCCAUUGAAAAAGAAGCACAAAAGAGGAGCUCAUGGAAGAACUGCUACUCAAACCGUCGCUCCGUCGUCAAUAAUACUGCAGAAAUCUACUAUUUUUUAAAUCUAAAUCAAAAAUGAGAUUUUUCUGUGUUGACCCUAUUCACUCCAGGUAAUUGUAUUUAUUUAUUUUACUUCAAUGUUAGAUUUUUUUCCUUAAAUUUUUUUAAGGAUCGACACCCUUUAAGAUGAAUUUGAGUCCCUUUGUUUUGUUCCUGGUGAAUUAUAGAUCUGGUGUUGUGUUUAUGAGUUUCUUUUUUUUUUCUGUUUCAAAAAAAUUGGUUUUCUCUCUUCAAUUUGUCGAGUAUUUUGGGAAUUAGGGUUAUUGAUUUUGUUUCUAUUAUUUUGGUUUGAUUCAUGAUGAUGAGGAGGGACCCUGAACAAUCCGCAGAUUCUAUUAUGAAUUCAAACCUGAUACGACAGAUGCUCCAAAGACCAAGCACAGGAUCAAGAUAAUUUUCCAUUGCUCAAAACUUUUGAAGAUUAUGUUCAAGUAUUCCUCUGUGCAUUGAAUAGUAAAUGUUCUGACAUCUUUGAGUUCCGCAUUUACUACCUAUGUUCUGGUUCAGGAUGCAUUUGGAGAUAAUGGUGGUGGAAGAAAAGAAUCAAGUGGUGAUGCAUAGCUCCUUCAACUAUGAAGCUGAUAUUCUUGAACUUUGUAUUGAGUGGCCUUUGUUUUGAAGAUGAUAUUUUAGAAUAAUAAUAUUAUAAUAGUAGAUAGGAUGUUUUGGGUAUUAAAUUUGUGUUUGAGAUACUAGCUAGUUAAUUUAAUAGUUUGGAUAAUAGGUAAACUUAAUUUGAUGAUAUAAUUUGGAGCGAGCUAGUAUGUAUUAUUACAUUUAGAUAUAUAUAAUAUAUAUUAGUAUCUUUACGUUA